GUAGAACCAAGUUUGGCUGCUGUAGCUUUUCUAGUGCAACUAAAUUCAUUUAUCUUUCCUUCUGUUCUUUUGCUUCCUGCUUUUGCUCUAGUAAAACUUCUAACUGUGAACAUUUUUCAGCCCAGGCACCUAUCACUAAAGAGAUGAAGAAGCCACCUUCUGAUAAUUUUGAUGGGAAUGCUGACCCUGAGAGUAAAAAUGACUCUAGAGAAAAUGACAACCAAAAUAAGAUGCCCAGAAGAGCUACCCCAACUGACAUGAAGAUGCCUCCACCUGUGCAACAAAUGCGGCCCAAGCCUGCCUACUUGAGUUCAAAAGAAAUUACUGCAGAAAAAAGCUUCUCUGCUGUUCUUUCUGACAGACUAGAACAGGGCAUGCAACAGUUUUGCUCUGAAAAAAACACAUUCUACAACACACUGAUGAGCCGAGGAUACUGGGAACCUUUGCAUGAGUGUAGCUGUGCAUUUGUGCAGCUGGCUGCAACUCCCCCUAAAAAAGUAGUGAUCUGAUGAGGACGGCCAGGCUGCUGGGCAGAUCGAAAAGGCAGAGUUGCUGUGCACUCUGCUGCUGUCUCUCCUCUUCAGCCUUUUCUGCCAGAUGCUUGAAAUCUCCAGCGUUUUACAAAUCCAGCUGCUGCCUUCAUCUCUGGUUAUCCAUAUAUAUCAACUGUUUGCUGCACUGAUUGCAAUGCCUGUGAAAAUUCUAAUUUAUUUGAAACACCAAAUUUGUGCUCAGUGGGCUUCUAUCAUGAAGAAGAGAAAGAAAAUAGUCUCUGGGACUAAAGANUGAACNUAGAAGGAAUUAAAAUAUACCUACACCACUAAACAAAUAGCUGCUUUAUUGUAAUAUUCACUUGUUCAAGGUACUGAAAUAAAAUUAGUUAGCCUUUUGUUUAACA
rnacentral:lncRNA from 1 species